rnacentral:rRNA from 1 species
AGAGUUUGAUCCUGGCUCAGAACGAACGCUGGCGGCAGGCUUAACACAUGCAAGUUGAACGGGAUUUGUGUGGUGCUUGCACCAUAUAAUGAGAGUAGCGCACUGGUGAGUAACACGUGGGAACGUGCCUUUUAGUGGGGGAUAACAUCUGGAAACGGAUGCUAAUACCGCAUACGCCCUGAGGGGGAAAGAUUUAUUGCUAAGAGGUCGGCCCGCGGUAGAUUAGGCAGUUGGUGGGGUAAAGGCCUACCAAACCUACGAUCUAUAGCUGGUCUGAGAGGACGAUCAGCCACAUUGGAACUGAGACACGGUCCAAACUCCUACGGGAGGCAGCAGUGAGGAAUAUUGGGCAAUGGAGGCAACUCUGACCCAGCCAUGCCGCGUGAGUGAAGAAGGUUUUCGGAUUGUAAAGCUCUUUCGGGUGUGACGAUGAUGACGGUAGCACCUAAAGAAGCCCCGGCUAACUUCGUGCCAGCAGCCGCGGUAAUACGAAGGGGGCAAGCGUUGUUCGGAAUUACUGGGCGUAAAGGGAGUGUAGGCGGUUAUGUAAGAUAGUGGUGAAAUCCCAGAGCUUAACUUUGGAAUUGCCAUUAUGACUAUGUGGCUAGAAUUACAGAGAGGAUAGUGGAAUACCCAGUGUAGAGGUGAAAUUCGUAGAUAUUGGGUAGAACACCAGUGGCGAAGGCGGCUAUCUGGCUAUAUAUUGACACUGAGGCACGAAAGCAUGGGGAUCAAACAGGAUUAGAUACCCUGGUAGUCCAUGCCGUAAACGAUGAAUGCUGGUUGUCGGACGAAUGUUCGGUGACGAAGUUAACGCGAUAAGCAUUCCGCCUGGGGAGUACGGCCGCAAGGUUAAAACUCAAAGGAAUUGACGGGGACCCGCACAAGCGGUGGAGCAUGUGGUUUAAUU